AACGGCCGUACCAUGCUGAAUAUACCGGUUCUCGUUAGAUCACCGAAGUCAAGCAUCAUUGGGCGCGGUCAGUACUUGGGUGGGUGACCACCUGGGAAUGCC